GGCUGGUCCAAAGGUAGUGAGUUAUCUCAAUUGAUUGUUCACAGUUACAGAUUUAACUUUUGUUCUACCUUUCCCCCCUUCUCACUACUGCACUUGUCUUAAA
rnacentral:Y_RNA from 1 species